GUCUUUUUGAAUUUAAUUUAAAGUCUAAUCUGCCCACUGAUAAAUAUUUAAGGGCCGCAGUAUUUUGACUGUGCAAAGGUAGCAUAAUCAUUAGUCUUUUAAUUGAGGGCUUGUAUGAAUGAUUGGACGAGAUAUAAGCUGUCUCAUAAAAAUUUAAGUAGAAUUUUAUUUUUUAGUCAAAAAGCUAAAAUAAAUUUAAAAGACGAGAAGACCCUAUAGAUCUUUAUAAUUUAUUUUUAAAUUUUUUUAGGUUAUUUUUUAGAUUUAUGAAUUAAAUUAUUUUGUUGGGGUGACAGUGAAAUUUAAUAAACUUUCAUUAUUUUGAAACAUUAAUUUAUGAUUAUUUGAUCCAUUAUUAGUGAUUAAAAAUUUAAGUUACCUUAGGGAUAACAGCGUAAUUAUUUUGGAGAGUUCUUAUCAAUAAAAUAGUUUGCGACCUCGAUGUUGGAUUAAGAUUAAUUCUGGGUGUAGCAGUUCAGUUUAUUAAGUCUGUUCGACUUUUAAUUUCUU
rnacentral:rRNA from 1 species